rnacentral:rRNA from 1 species
GCUUACGACCACACCGCGCCUGAGUACGCCUGAUCUCGUCUGAUCUCGGAAGCUAAGCAGGGUCGGCCUGGUUAGUACUUGGAUGGAGACCGCCUGGGAAUACCAGUGCUGUAAGCU